UCUCGUAGAACGUCACGUUAGAUUACAUUUUUGCCGCCAGGGAAUAUACGAGCCCAAGCUUAUGACCCAAAGGACUUGACGGUGUCCCACCCACCUAGAGGAGCCUGUUCUAUAAUCGAUUCUCCCCGAUAAACCUCACCGUUUCUAGCCUACUCAGCCUGUAUACCGCCAUCUUCAGCAAACGGA
rnacentral:rRNA from 1 species